CUGUAUCGUCGCGAAUCCGUCGCGGAACCUGUCUUCUGUCUUUACCCAGAGCUACCAUGAGCAAGCGGAACCAGGUAUCGUACGUGCGGCCAGCCGAGCCGGCGUUUCUGGCCCGCUUCAAGGAACGGGUCGGCUACAGGGAGGGACCCACCGUAGAGACUAAGAAUUCAGCCUCAGCCCCCAGAUGAAGAUGGGGAUCACAGUGACAAAGAAGAUGAACAGCCUCAAGUGGUGGUUUUAAAAAAGGGAGACCUGUCAGUUGAAGAAGUCAUGAAAAUUAAAGCAGAAAUAAAGGCUGCCAAAGCAGAUGAAGAACCAACUCCAGCCGAUGGAAGAAUCAUAUAUCGAAAACCAGUCAAGCAUCCCUCAGAUGAAAAAUAUUCAGGUUUAACAGCAAGCUCAAAAAAGAAGAAGCCAAAUGAAGAUGAAGUAAAUCAGGACUCGGUCAAAAAGAACUCACAAAAACAAAUUAAAAAUAGUAGCCUCCUUUCUUUUGACAACGAAGAUGAAAAUGAGUAAGUGUAAAUAUUUUGAAUUUAGUCUACUUUGAAAGUAUAUGGAGUGUUCAUUAAAAUCACAUUUUUUCCUAUUAUAAAGAUACUACAAGUUCUUUAUAGAAAGUUUAGGAAAUAGAGAAAAAAAUUUAAUAAACUACAUCUAUUCAUCAAUACCCCUCUGACUUAAAAUGCCAACUCUAUAGAAAUUAGCUAGUAUUAACAUUUUGUUAUUUCCCUUGUGUGGUUGUAUAUAUAUGUAAAUUAUAUUUUUAAGCAAAAUACAUUUUUUGUGUGUAAACAAAAUUUUAUAAAUACAACUGUAUUGCAAAUGUUCUUUGUCCUGCUUCUCACUUGACAUUGCAUUACGAGUAUUCUUCCAGGUCAGUAAAUUUCAAAAACCUGACAUUAAUAGCUACAGAUAAUUUCAUAAACAUCUCAUUGUAUCUUUUUCAUUAGCAAUAGCUCCACUUUGGGUGGGGGAGAUGAUAAUGUGCCUUGUUAAAAAUACCUCCCCAACUCCUGCUAAGGGUGGCCAUGAGACUCAGCUCUGGCAAGUUAAGAAAUACAGGUGGAAUUCUGCUUGAUAAAGCUGCUGGGUUUUUUGUUACAAAAGGACAGACUUGGCAAACAUGAGCCUUUGCUCUUAUCUUUUCAUCCUACUUGGAGUGCAGAGAUAAAACCUGAGUACCAGAGCCACUUUUAGGCAUAAGGAAGGCAGCCAUGUGCUUUGGGUCAUGUUAGUAAAAAGACUCAGAGCUUGGCUCCUUGCUGACAUGCCUGGAGGAGCUGCUACACCAGCUUGGAUUGCUGACCUCUGACUUCUUGGUAGUGAGAAGAAUAAACACUGUGCUUAAUUAGGCCUUGGUCAGGUUUCUUUUAUAUGCAGCCAAAUGCAGUCCUAAGUAAUACAAUAAAUAACUGGUCAAACUGUUACUGGUGGAGGGUGUCCAGGUUCUUGGCAUUUUGGACAAAUAAUUGAACAAAACGCACAAAGCAAUGAAUAUCCUCUAGAGGUUUGCCAUUGGUUACUUGGCGUACACCCUGUGUAAAUGAAGUAGUGGCCCGUGACCUGUCUGAUUGGUGCAGAAAGUGACCAAUCAGAGGCUGAAGUGAAGUUACAAAGUUAUACUCCUGUGUAAAUGAGGACUUGGCCUAUGACCAGUCUGAUUGGUUGCAGGAGGGGACCAAUCAGAGGCACUUUCAUUUUUCAUCUGCAAUGCAGAAAAGGCAAGGGGAUUGCAAAGGGAGUAGCCUCUGAUCCUUUUGUUACUUAGGUAUGGAGAGGUGGGGUUUUCCUUUUGAUUCAGUUCUAGGAAGUCAAUGUGAAUCAGCCUUAGGUUCCCUGUCUCCAGACCCUAUUCUCCUGCCUCAUUUUCCCCCUGAGAGACGUGAUCCUCGUAAAUCUUUAUGGGAGGCUGAGAGACUGAGGGUCUUUCUUCUGUAACUGCUUCAUGCUAACUUGGGACACAGUCCCUACCUAUUGGAGAUCACGUAACUCUCACCCUGCUUUGUCUAGGGGAGACAGGGUAGCUUCUUGAUGGCCGGUGGUGUCUUCUCCUGAAACUGGCUAGAAAUCUUGUCACAUGAUCAUCUAACUUGGUGGUCUCUAGGCAAAAGGAAAUGGAUUUGGUUAAAAGAUUUAACAGAUAUGGUCCAAAAACCAAGGCAAAUAUAAUCAUUAAUAAUGGGCUGGCCAAGGGAGGGAGCCAUGAAACCCAACUUAGUGCCCUUUAGGUGCCCCAGCUGUUGUCAUAUUUUAGAGGCCCAGUCAGCUAGUUUUCAGGUGGUGUCCCUUACUAAUCCUGAUUGGUUGACAUCAAAACAGCAUUCUUCUUCUAGGAAAAUACAUAAGCCACCUGUUUCAGCAGUUAGGAGAUCUAGUCCCCUUCGAUUUUGCAAAGCGACCACUGCCAAGGAGCCUAUCCGAAUUUGUAAGGUGACAAUACUUUGAGCAAUGUUAUCCAGGCUUUCCAUAAAAUCCUUGGACAAGCGUUGGUAAUAGGAUAGGGAAGUUGCAAUCCCGCUAACUCCCAUUCCUACCUCUGCUGUUAUUCCUAGCCGUUGUGUCUGGUGGUUGCAGUUAAAGGUAUAAUGAGGGAUUGGUUGUUGGGAGCUAUAUUAAUUUAGGGACAUACAAUAUUUCUGUCUCCAGUCUACCACUUCCACCAAAGACAAAUCACAGCAGAACCGACCUAACUUCAAAAUAAACUGCAGUCCCAUAUACUGGGCCUGAUUACCCACACAAAGUGCAACAAGAAUCAUUGUCCAUAUAGACUCUCCUAGAUUGGCUUUGCUAGAACAUUUCACAAGGCCAUUUCAGUCAAAGUCCUGAGAAAGUAACCGGUUUCAAUUGUGCCCUAUUACAAAAGAAAACGUGGUUAUUAACUUUAUACAGACAAAUGCCAUGAAUUAAGAAUAUUCAUAAAUAGUUUACAAAUUCUGGAGAAAUUAGAAUACUCAAUACACUUAAAGUGUAUUUCAAGGCUAUAAAUAGCUCAAAAUAAAAAGAUUAUUCAGACUCUGAAAAAACAAAAAGAAGUAGCAAUAUUUCAAACAACAAAAGCCAUACAAAUUAUUUCAGUCUUCCAUUAGUUCAUUUCAGUCCAUGUAAUCAACUCCUGCUCUACUUCAUAUUCAUCUUUAUGAACACAUCAGCCUUUCAAUUAGUGCCUUGGAAGUUUUCUGUCUAAUCCAAUGGCACACUCUCCAAAGUUACCAGAAACCUGCAUUCAAGAGUUCUUUUCAUGAACUCCAAAGAAGUAAGCCUUGGACUGUAGCUGAUUAUAAGUCACUUUUUUUUUUUGAGAAGGAUCAGAGCAAAACAUCAAUUAUGGAUGACAAAAGUCUUAAGACAGCCAUAAAGACACAGUUGACAAAUGUGGCUAUUUCUGUGGCUUACAACAAUUUAACAUAAUCAUUACAACAUAUAUUAAGACAUAUCAGAAUUUUAGAACUCUCAUACAAUCCUGGAACACAUAUUAACAACAAAUCUCUAUCAGUAUAACCCAAAGGAAGCUAAACACCACCUCACACUUGACAAUGUUUCCUGUAUAAUUCAAACAUUACAAAUAAGCCUAAUAUAAGCCUAAUAUGUCACUCUUGAACUUCAGGAAGCCUAAUAUCCAAAAAGUUAGUUUAAGGUCAAAAGUUUUUGAAUUAACUUUUUUCCAUUAGUAUGGUCAUAUCUUUCUUACUAAUUUGUAAGUUAUGUAAUUUAUCAAUUUUUUUUUGUUGUUCUGUUUCCCAACCUCUAUGUCAGAUAAAGAAUCACCCAGGCCAGACACAAUGGCUCAUGCUUGUAAUCCCAACACUUUGGGAAGCCAAGGUGGGAGAAUUGCUUGAAGCCAGGAAUCUGAGCCCAGCCUGGGCGACAAAGCAAUACCCCUAUCUCUACAAAAAAUAAAAAAUAGCCAGGUGUAGCGACACACACCUGUAGUCCCAGCUGCUCAGGAGGCUAAGCAGGAGGAUGGCUUGGGCCCAGGAGUUCAACGCUGCAGUGAGCUAUGAUUGCACCACUGCACUCCAGCCUGGGCAACAGAGUAAGAACUGUCUCAAAAAAAAUAAAAAAUAGAAAUAAAUUUUAAAAAAAGAAUUACCCAUAUUCUCUUUGUUUUUGUUUAUUCACAUUAACCUUUAUUCUAUCUGGAAUUUAUUAGAGUAUACUUUUUUCUCAAAUAAUCAAUUGUCCUAGAACCAUGUGUUUCUCAUUUAUUUGAAAGGCCAUCUAGUGAGAGAUUUCUCCAAAUGUUGGGGUAGGGAAGGGAGGGGAAGCACUUUAAAGUCUGAGCCUUUAGAGGUGAUUCCUCAAGACCCUGCUUAAUCCUAACAAUUUUCCUCAUUAGUAAAAGUCAGCCCAAACUGGGGGCUUGUUAAGAUCCUUACCAGCCACAUCCAUCUGAAAUUAUGAAUUUCAAAGUAUCUUACAAAUUUGGUGCCACAUUAUCUUUUUUAAGUUUGUUUUGUUUUGUUUUUUUGAGACAGAGUCUCGCUCUGUCACCCAGGCUGGAGUGCAGUGGCGCGAUCUCAGCUCACUGCAAGCUCCGCCUCCUGGGUUCACACCAUUCUCUUGCCUCAGCCUCCCAAGUAUCUGGGACUACAGUCGCCCGCCACCACGCCCGGCUAAUUUUUUUGUAUUUUUAAUAGAGACGGGGUUUCACUUUGUUAGCCAGGAUGGUCUCAAUCUCCUGACCUCAUGAUCCACCUGCCUCGGCCUCCCAAAGUGCUGGGAUUACAGGCAGGAGCCACCGCGCCUGGGCCUUUUUUUAAGUUUUAAGUACCUAUAAAGAACACUGAAAGGUGAUGUGUGUGGAUGAGCUAGGAAGACCUGAAAUAGGCUCUCUCUAAAUUAAUCAAAUUAAUCCUGAAGCCAUUCUGCAAUACUGUCUUUAAUGUAUACUCACUUGUUAUAGAAGCCAGGGUUUUUUCCCCUAAUUUGUAUCAUUGCUAUAUGUGUUAUUGUACCAAACUACACUGUUUUAAUUGCUGUAAAUUUUAAUAUGUCUUAGUAUCUGGGUGUGGGAAUCUUGAAAGCAUGGAGUUUGUGUUAUUCACCACUGUAUUCUCAAAUAUCAGAAGAGUAUCUGGCCUACUAAGUGCACAAUAAACAUAGUUAAAAUGAA
rnacentral:lncRNA from 1 species